rnacentral:rRNA from 1 species
GGUUGACCUCGGAUCAGGUAGGGAC